GGAAGGAUCAUUAUUGAUAAAACUUGAACAGGUUGUUGCUGGCUCCUCGGGGCAUGUGCACACUUGUCAUCAUUUUUCCUCUGUGCACCAACUGUAGGUCUGGAGCUUUUGAAAAGAGAAAAAGAGUUUUUUCUUCUUCUUCGAUUGAGGGACUGCUGAAUGUCAGCUUUGCCUUGCACCUUCAGGUCUAUGUUUUUUACAAUCUCUCAAUGUGUUUGGAAUGUCGAGUUGUGAAUAUAUAUAUAUAUACAACUUUCAGCAACGGAUCUCUUGGCUCUCGCAUCGAUGAAGAACGCAGCGAAAUGCGAUAAGUAAUGUGAAUUGCAGAAUUCAGUGAAUCAUCGAAUCUUUGAACGCAUCUUGCGCUCCUUGGUAUUCUGAGGAGCAUGCCUGUUUGAGUGUCAUCAAGUUCUCAACCACAUUGAUUUGCUUUGAUGUGGAUUGGAUAUGGGGUUUGCAGGCCCCUUUUUUCAAAAAAGGGUCUGCUUUCCUGAAAUAAAUUAGUGGUGUCUGAGCAGAGACUUUACUACAGGUGUGAUAACUAUCUAUGCCUUAUUGUAAAACACUGUGCAAACUGCUUCAAAUCUCAUUUGUUGACCAAUUUGACCUCAAAUCAGGUAGGACUACCCGCUGAACUUAAGCAUAUCAAUAAGCGGAGGAAAAGAAACUAACAAGGAUUCCCCUAGUAACUGCGAGUGAAGCGGGAAAAGCUCAAAUUUGAAAUCUGGCAGUUUUUGACUGUCCGAGUUGUAAUCUAGAGAAGUGUUACCCGUGCUGGGCUGUGUACAAGUCUCCUGGAAUGGGGCAUCAUAGAGGGUGAGAAUCCCGUCUUUGACACGGACUGCCAGUGCACUGUGGGUGUGCUCUCGAGAGUCGAGUUGUUUGGGAAUGCAGCUCAAAAUGGGUGGUAAAUGCCAUCUAAAGCUAAAUAUUGGCGAGAGACCGAUAGCGAACAAGUACCGUGAGGGAAAAAAUGAAAAGA
rnacentral:sRNA from 1 species